GACAUGAGCAGGGCCUCAGCUAACCCACAAAUAGCACAUGUGUGCAAACUGGAAAAAUGAACCCUUCUUCUGGGAGGACGCCAGCCCAGGCCAGGUCACCCGGCUUGGCCAGCAGAACACAGAGUGGAUUUUGGUCCCGUUUGUUCCCCAGUGGGGUAUCUAUCCUUGUGCAGGGCACAAGCUUACAUGGUGGCUCUGGUCAUUUCAUUAGAAAAUAGACAGAAAUGG
rnacentral:lncRNA from 1 species